GAUGAACGCUGGCGGCGUGCCUAAUACAUGCAAGUCGAGCGAACAGACGAGGAGCUUGCUCCUCUGACGUUAGCGGCGGACGGGUGAGUAACACGUGGCUAACCUACCUAUAAGACUGGGAUAACUUCGGGAAACCGGAGCUAAUACCGGAUCAUAUAUUGAACCGCAUGGUUCAAUAGUGAAAGACGGUUUUGAUGUCACUUAUAGAUGGAUCCGCGCCGCAUUAGCUAGUUGGUAAGGUAACGGCUUACCAAGGCAACGAUGCGUAGCCGACCUGAGAGGGUGAUCAGCCACACUGGAACUGAGACACGGUCCAGACUCCUACGGGAGGCAGCAGUAGGGAAUCUUGCGCAAUGGGCGAAAGCCUGACGGAGCAACGCCGCGUGAGUGAUGAAGGUCUUCGGAUCGUAAAACUCUGUUAGUAGGGAAGAACAAAUGUGUAAGUAACUAUGCACGUCUUGACGGUACCUAAUCAGAAAGCCACGGCUAACUACGUG
rnacentral:rRNA from 1 species